rnacentral:piRNA from 1 species
GCGUGUGAGAAACCGAUGACUGGUGGGAGU